UUGUUUUAGUUAAGUCCCCCCCAAACCCUAUCUCCUAAAAUCAAAACCGAUUUCCCUAUUCCUAGCCGCCACCAAGAUACAUACGCCAUCUCCUUCACGGAAAAUCCUUAGUUUAAUCUCUUUUCUUAUCAUUGCUCCACUAAUCUCGCCGGAUAUUUAUUGAUUUCUUCUCUUUUUCGUAUCUCUCACUCAGUCCGUUUAUGUAUGGCGAUGAAUGAGAAUAUAUCAAAGAGAAGUGUCAGAAAUCGAACCUCACCAAAUAUGCAUAAUUCGAAAUCAAACGAGCAUGAAUCGGGGUUUCUCUACACCCAUGACCUUCUUCAACACAGCGGAAGAAGAAACUUUGUAGUUCAGUGCACCUUAUUGGUAAUUUUGCAGUGUCCGUCCAAAUUAAGCAUCUCAACUUCGGAAAGGUUGUAGCUUGGACUCGCCUUGCUCUUCGGAAGUCUCAAAACGACACUAUUUGGGAUAAUGUCAUUAAACAAUAACAAACGAUGAGGUCGAUCAAGGAGAAGUUUGAAGACAUAAUAUGUUUUGGUUAUUAUAUUGGCAAAUUAUUGUGUAAUAGGAAUAAAUAUUUAAUUGACUUGUUAAUGGUUGAACUAUUUAUCAUAAUUGAGUUGAGAAGUAUUCUUUGUCCUUUCCAGAGCAGUGUUGAGUGUUUUUAAUAUUAAUUAAAAGCAUUUUUUUUUUGUUUAAAA